GAUGAACGCUGGCGGCGUGCCUAAUACAUGCAAGUCGAGCGAACGGACGAGAAGCUUGCUUCUCUGAUGUUAGCGGCGGACGGGUGAGUAACACGUGGAUAACCUACCUAUAAGACUGGGAUAACUUCGGGAAACCGGAGCUAAUACCGGAUAAUAUUUUGAACCGCAUGGUUCAAAAGUGAAAGACGGUCUUGCUGUCACUUAUAGAUGGAUCCGCGCUGCAUUAGCUAGUUGGUAAGGUAACGGCUUACCAAGGCAACGAUGCAUAGCCGACCUGAGAGGGUGAUCGGCCACACUGGAACUGAGCCACGGUCCAGACGCCUACGGGAGGCAGCAGUAGGGAAUCUUCCGCAAUGGGCGAAAGCCUGACGGAGCAACGCCGCGUGAGUGAUGAAGGUCUUCGGAUCGUAAAACUCUGUUAUUAGGGAAGAACAUAUGUGUAAGUAACUGUGCACAUCUUGACGGUACCUAAUCAGAAAGCCACGGCUAACUACGUG
rnacentral:rRNA from 1 species